GAAUUCGCCCUUAGAGUUUGAUCCUGGCUCAGGACUAACGCUGGCGGCGUGCCUAAUACAUGCAAGUCGAACGGUCGUGCGUUUGUAGCAAUAUGGACGUACGAUAGUGGCGAACGGGUGAGUAACACGUGGAAAACCUACCCUCGAGCGGGGGAUAACUCCGGGAAACUGGGACUAAUACCGCAUGACAUCCCAACCUGGCAUCGGGAGGGGAUCAAAGCCGAAAGGCACUUGAGGAUGGUUCCGCGGCCUAUCAGCUAGUUGGCGGGGUAACGGCCCACCAAGGCGACGACGGGUAGCCGGCCUGAGAGGGCGAUCGGCCACAAGGGGACUGAGACACGGCCCCUACUCCUACGGGAGGCAGCAGUAGGGAAUUUUGCUCAAUGGGGGAAACCCUGAAGCAGCGACGCCGCGUGGGCGACGAAAUCCUUCGGGAUGUAAAGCCCUUUUAACCGGGACGAAAUACAUGACGGUACCGGUGGAAUAAGCCUCGGCUAACUCCGUGCCAGCAGCCGCGGUAAGACGGGGGAGGCAAGCGUUGUCCGGAAUCACUGGGUGUAAAGGGCGUGUAGGCGGGCCGGCUAGUCGGUUGUUAAAUCUCUCCGCUCAACGGAGAAGCUGCGGCCGAUACUUCCGGUCUUGAGUGCGGCAGGGGAGGAUGGAAUUCCUGGUGUAGCGGUGAAAUGCGUAGAUAUCAGGAGGAACACCGGUGGCGAAGGCGGUCCUCUGGGCCUGCACUGACGCUGAGUGCGCGAAAGCUGGGGUAGCAAACAGAAUUAGAUACUCUGGUAGUCCCAGCCCUAAACGAU
rnacentral:rRNA from 1 species